rnacentral:rRNA from 1 species
CAGUAGCCGCGGUAAUACGAAGGGUGCAAGCGUUGAUCGGAAUUACUGGGCGUAAAACGUGCGUAGGCGGUUUGUUAAGUCUGUUGUGGAAUCCCCGGGCUCAACCUGGGAAUGGCAAUGGAUACUGGCAAGCUAGAGUGUGUCAGAGGAUGGUGGAAUUCCCGGUGUAGCGGUGAAAUGCGUAGAGACCGGGAGGAACAUCAGUGGCGAAGGCGGCCAUCUGGGACAACACUGACGCUGAGGCACGAAAGCGUGGGGAGCAAACAGGAUUAGAUACCCCUGUAGUCCCUGUCUCUUAUAC